CCCCGACUCCACCUUCUUCUUCCUCUUUUUUUUCUUUUUCUUUUUCUUUCUUUUCUUUCAUUUUCUCUUCCUCUCUUUGGCAGCCACGACCAGGACCACAACCAGACCCACCCACCGUCGACCUCCAUUUUCGACACGCGACGACCCUCUAGAUUCACCUUGCUCCGACGCUAUCAAACACUAAGUGGCGCCGCCUAACUUGCUCUCAACAACCCGGAAUUGCAAGUCAAAGUUUUGGUCCAUCAACUUUGACUCCAUUUUCCGGGAAACUCCAGUGUCCAUUCAACAAACUGUUUCCGCCAUUGAACUCAGCUCAUCGAGGAGAACAAAACCCAACAAGCCUUUGCAAUUAAUUCGUCACUUUUAUCCAAUGAGAUUUUGAAAUCUUCGCUCCUUUGAGAGAGUUUUUCGGCGACACCGUGGGUUAUUUGGGCAAAUAAGUUGUACUUUCGUGAUGUCAUCAAGAUGAUCGUUUUAAUAGAUAGAAAGUCAAUUUCUGUCUCCACUGCCGGUGCACCAUCACCGAUCACCGCGAACGGCCAAUCUGUGCGAUUGAGGAUUGUAGGACAAAGUGACUUGGAAGCGGGCUAAACUACUUGGAACCUAGCAAUAGGGCUUAUGAGCGUCCUCUUUGUAUAGAUGAUAACAAUCCUAAGGAGGGUCAAAAAUAAAAAGAGGGAAAGUGGACCACAAAAAAUUUCAAUCAAAUUUUUAUUGCCUAUAGCAACGAUGGUCGUCGCUAUAGACUGGGCGUAACACGUGGCAUGAUUCAUGUACGAUUCACUUAUCUACAGCGACAACAUGUCGUCGCUGUAGGGUCUAACCGUUUGAGUGAACGGUGCGUUCAACCUCGGCGACGACUUACUUAUACUUUAUAGCGACGACAUGUCAUCGUUAUAGAGUUUAUCGAUAUAACUUCCCAGGCGUUGUCUUCUUCCACAUUUUCCCCCUCUCUCAAAAAUUACAGAGAGCGAAAACCAGACCCACCGUCGCCCUCCAUCGCCCCAUGGUUUCCCAUCCCAUUUUUGGACUUCUCCACCGCUCUCCUCUGCCCCACGGUGUCCCAACGCAUGUUCUGAAAAGAUUUUUGUAUUAAUAUUUGUGGUUAUUUAGUUUUUUGUAAAAAAUUGUUUUUGAUGUUUGUUUUUUUCUUUUCUUUUUUCAGAUAACAGAAGAAUUAGGGUAUUGCUCAGAUUGUAGAGAUCCUCCCUUGGGUAUUGUUUUUAAUUGUGUUUUUUUUUUUGGUGAUUGAUGAAUGUAUUGAUGUAUGUUUAAUUUAUAUUUUAUAGGUGUGUGAUUAGUUAUUUCAGAUAGUGCUAAUUUUUUUCAUAUUCAUUUUAAAGAAUUACAGGAUUAUUAGAAGUAUAUUUAUUUGUUAAAUUAAUUA